ACCGGAACAAUUUCAUAGGUAAGCCCUUAAAUGUUCUCAGCCACUCUUUUCCCCCAAUUUUCGAAAUAUAGGAAGAGAAGUUGAAUUUCUUUGAUUUCUGAAGUUUUAGGAUCCAAUUAGCUUGAGAAAAACGUUCACUCUUGCUUAUGUGAAGUUUGGGUAAGGUUGUGAAUAAAUAAUUGGAGCUUGAAAUUGUGAAUACUGGAACUUGGAGGAAGCAUAUUAGUUGAGGUUUUGAGGGCUGUGUUCUUUUAGAAAAAUUGUCUUGGAAUAAUACUUGGGAAUCGGCUAAGGUAUGGUUUAGGUUUCUUGCAUUUAAUAUAUAAUGUUCUGUGAAAACUUAGGCUAGAUGACCAUAGGAUAAGUUGGAAUGCAGGUGUAUGUUUAAUGUUUAGUAAUUUGUCGAUGAAUAUAUUUGGUUGAAGUUUAUUGGAUAAUUAGUUAUUAAUUUUGGAUGGUGAAUGUUGUUAUGUUAAUUUGGAGAGAAUCAUGGUUGAAUGUUAUUGUUGAUGAACAUAGUUGGUUAGGUACUUGUUGAUUAACUAAUAAUUUGGUGAAUUAUUGAUUUGAGGUAUUUUGUAUUAGAAGCCUAGGAUUAGUGAACUAUGAUCCUUAGUUGAAUUUUGGUUGUUAGAUUUGAAUAUUGUAUGAGUAUAAUUGUUGAUCUGAGGUAGAUUUAUUGUGGUGACUGUUAUGAUGAUGAGGAAGGGUAUGUUGAAUUGAAAAGAAUGCAGGUUUGGACCCAAAAAGGGUGGCAAAGUCCGAGUUUUAGAGGAGAUGCUGCCGAAAUUUUAUAAAAAUUAGAGAUUUUGUUUAUAUGAUUAUUUAAAAAGAUUUAGAUUCCAAAGGUUAUAUGGUUUGAUUUAGAGUUAUUAAGAAAAUGAGCAUGCUUUAAGUGUGAUUCAUUUAAAAAAGAAUGAAUUAUGUUUUGAAUUCGAACUACUGAUGGACGAAAUGGGAGGUGUGAUAAUAAAGGAUAAUAAUUGAAUAUGAUUGAUGUAUGAUGAUGAAUGAGAUGCGAUUGAGAAUGAUGUGAAUGUUGAUGAAUUAUAAUUGAAUUAUUUGUAUGGCUUGAAUAAUUUAAUGAUCUGAGAUACGAGGUUCCCUGGAUUAAGUGCCGUGGCUUGCCACCACGUGUACCAGGUUGAAAACUCGAUACUCUGUUGACCCUACGACGUAAGUGUGACCGGGCACUAUAUAAAUUUUCGGGAAUGUUACCCCCAUUGAGCAAUAUUGAUUAUUUGAGAAAAAGCUAUGCAUAGACUCUUGGGGAUGCACGUCGGGCGACAGUCUAAGGACAAUUCAGACUUAUCGGGUUGGCUGGAUAACCGACAGAUGAGCCUCAUCAGCCAUAGGACAGGCAUGCAUCAUAUGCAUAUUACUUGAAUUACUUGCUUGUGCUUUAAUUGGGUGUGCCUACAUGUACUUGUCAUGUUAAAUGUGUAUUUGUUACUUGCAGUAUUUGUAACCUUCUUCUGCUUACUUUUAUCUGUCUAUUUGUCUGUGCAAAUGCAUGAUAGAGUUGGAGGUAUGGAGGAAUGACAGUAUGGAACUUAGAUUUAAGGUUAAGUUAAGUUAGGUUUAAAUAUUCUUAGAAAAUCACCUCUUAUGGCUUCCGUUUAAUACUUUAAGCUCUAUAAUCUGAGUGUCGGUGUUCUAGGAUUGCCUCUGGCAUUUUCAGGAUCUUAUAUAUUAUGUGUGUGACACCUUUACCAUACUGAGAACAUCCGGUUCUCAUUCCAUACUAUAUUGUUGUUUUUUAGAUUCAGGUCGAGAGGCAUCUCGUUAGGCGUCUGGACUCUUGAAGCGGAGUGGUUAUUGGGCUACUUUUUUAUGCUAUGAUGUAUAUAUAUGUAUAUAUGUACUUGGCUUUCUCUCUGCAUAACUUGUUCUUUUUUAUCCUCUUAGAGGUUUAUGGAGAGAUAAGAUUGUGUAUAUGUACUUUUGGAUUUUGGAUAUGUAUGUAUAUAUGUGUAAAUAUUCUCCGACCAGACUUGACUUCGCAGGCUGAGUUAGGAGCUUGUUAUUUUGUAUCCUUGGCACUCUAUUCCUACUUC